rnacentral:rRNA from 1 species
GAGGAAUAUUGGGCAAUGGGCGAAAGCCNGACCCAGCCACGCCGCGUGUGUGAUGAAGGCCUUCGGGUCGUAAAGCACUGUGGGGAGAGACGAACAUGCGCAGGAGGAAAUGCCUGCGUACUGACGGUACCUC